AGAGUUUGAUCUUGGCUCUGAAUGAACCCUAGCAAUCUGCUUUAUACAUGCGAGUCGAGUAACAUUUUAGCAGAGCAAUCAUAUUGUUUUAUCUUAAAAGAAUACGGCGUACGAGUGAGUAAACAAUGCGAAGCUACUCAUAAUAGAACCUAAAUGGUUUAAUACUAAAAAAGGAUUAUGAAGGCGCGUGUUGAGGAUUAGGUAUGUUGGUGGGAUAAUAGCUUACCAAACCGAAGAUCCUUAGUCAUCCUGAGAGGGAGAAUGGCCACGCCGGAACUGAAACAAGGUCCGGGCUUAUUUUAGCCAGCAGUAGGGAAUAUUGGACAAUGAGCGAAAGCUUGAUCCAGCAAGAUUGCGUGAGGGAAGAAGGUCAAUUGACCGUAAACCUCUUUCACCGAGGAAGAAUUAUGACGGUACUCGGAAAAGAAGCUCCAGCCAAUCUCGUGCCAGCAGCUGCGGUAAUACGGGAGGAGCGAGGGUUAUUCAUGAUGAUUGGGUGUAAAGCAGGAUAAGGUGAUAAGUACAAGUUUUAAGUCGACCGAGAGCUCAACUCGAGGGAGGAUUUAAAAAACUAACUUAACAGAGGAAUUACAGAGUUGAAAGCGGAACUAUUGGGGUAGAGGUGUAAUUCGUUUCAUCUCAAUAGGAACACCGAAAGCGAAAAGCAGCCAACUAAUAAUUACCUGCCACUAGACCUGGAAUCUGAGGUAGCAAACCGGAUUAGAUACCCGGGUAGUCUCAGACGUAAACGAUGGACGCUCGUAAGAGUUCAAUACUCUUACUCAGCUAACGCGGAAGCGUCCCACCUAGUGAGUACACCCGCAAGGGUGAAAACUAAAUAGAAUAGGCGGCUCUACAAACGACCAGAGGAGCAUGCAACUUAAUUUGAUAUUACGCGACAAACCUUACCUAGGCUUGUAUUUUCAUUGAUGCAAGAGAAAAACUCUUUGCUUACGGAUAGCUUAGCUAUCCUAUAAAUGAUAACACGUUUUGCAUGAUCGUAUUCAGCUCGAUGUUGUGAAAUGUUAGGUUAAGUCCUUUAACGAGCGCAACCCAUGUCUUUAGUUGGAAAAGAUGACUUAGCGGAGUUAGUCUUUUAUAGAGGUGCUUUAGCACCCCUGUCCUCUCUAAAGAUACUGCCGUGGAAAAAGCGGAGGAAGGAAUGGAUGACUACAGAUCACCAUGAACGUCAUGCUUAGGGCUGUAAGCGUGCUACAAUCGGAUUGACAAAGGGAAGCAAAGAGGAAACUCAGUGCGAAUCCUGAAACAAUCUCGUCAAUUAGGAUCGAAGACUGCAACUCGUCUUCGUGAAUCUGGAUUUGGAAGUAAUCGUGGAGGAGUGUGCCACGGUGAAUAGGAAAAUGUAGGGUGUACUUCUUGCCCAGCACGCCUCAAGAGUGGAUUCAAUUAAAGGUUAAAAUUAUAUUCAAUUCACAGUAUCGUCUUUUCGAUGCUGUACAUUGAAACUCCGAGAUA
rnacentral:rRNA from 1 species